UUCCUGGUGUCUCAGAUGGUAAAGAAUCCACCUGCAAUGUGGGAGACCUGGGUUUGAUCCCUGGGCUGGAAA
rnacentral:tRNA from 1 species